CGGAGGUGAAGGUAUUCUUUUUUUUUUUUUUUUUUUAAGGCGGAACACUUUACUGCUGCUCGUUCCACGCUGGUAAUGGAGAAUCCCCCAGCCGCCCCAACGAAUUAAUUCGGGGCUAACGCCGAGACACUCCCCGAUAUCGAGUCACUUCGUUCCACGGGCCAGUAUUCUCACGCCGAGGAAGAAUCAAUGGGAUUCCUCUUUGCUCCACACGACGUACAAAGCACGUGCCAUUCGCCGCAGAAUCCACUUCUCUCUGAAAUUCUUGUCUCGUCGAGCAUCUCCUUUCCUCCGAUGAAAAUUCAGAAGAUUCCAUGGGAAAAUCAAAAAUCAAAAUCCAAGAGAGUGGCUCGAGUACAGGGUUGCCUUCCGAAGCGUCUGUGCAAGCGCGCGCAAAAGAGAUGAGCGCGAUCGGGGCGCGGGGAGAAGAGAGCGUUUUACAGCGCAACAGAGAAGGGGAGAAGCGAGAAAGAGAGGGAAAUUCAAAGAUGGCGCCACGCGUGUGCCUGACAGAGACGAGGAACGGGAGCUGAAGCGAGGCAACCGCCUUCGCUUCUUUCCCCUCUCGCCGCCUUGGCGAAGAGUGACCGGCCCGAAAAGUCCGAAUCCGAUCGUGGAAUGGCUCAGUAGUGCGCGAGACACAUUUCGUGACGCGUGCUCGUCGUUGGUAUCGAUAUCUUUCGAUGAUUCACGAGCAUUGCGACGAGAGUAAGCGGCGACCAAUCCCCGGUUCCGUUACAUCAGCAUCCGACUACGUGGGUCCUCGACGAUUGGCUCUCUCUGUGCUGCGUUCGAGUUCUCUCUCUCUUGCACGCGUUACAGUCGGAAUAGGAGAAAAAAAGAUACUCGCCGCCUGUGUUUCCUCGCGGUGCGGCUUAUUCUCGAACUAGAUACAUACUACGCGCAUCGUGCUAUUUGCCGUGUGCAUUUUCGUUUAACCAGAUUUUCGGUGGAAACGUGGAGGAAAUACGCGUAGAGAGAUUUUCGGCGAUGAGGAGAAACGCGACGAAGACACGAGCCAGCAGCCGAGCGACAGACAGAGUGAGAGGAAGGGAAGCUAGAGGGAGAGCAGCAGAGAACGACGGGGUAUUUUGGACGCAGAUCGAUCGGUCGCUCUCCGGUUCGCGCCAUGUGACCGGUCAAAGACCAGUCUGCAUGGGAUAGGAGGUUAGAAACUUAUUCGGUAUCCUUCGAAGUGUUGUAGUCGCGUGGCGGUUCCAUUUGUUCGUUGAUCAGUCGAGAAAAUGAGAUCUCUACCGAGUGAUGUGGUAGUGUCAGUAGCGCGUGAGCCAGUGAACGAGGUAGUCGUUUUUUCGUUAGAGCGUUUAUCGGGCAUUCGCGUAUCGCGGUGGCGGGCUUCGGGAGAAGCACGAUCGCGAGGGAAAAGAGAACCGAUUUUACCGCGAAAGAAUGUCGUUGUCUCGGGUCAGAUGUAAAAAUAAAAAGAAGCAGACUUAUGUCUCAAGGC